AGUAUCUCGUUGAUUGGGAGGGCUAUGGCCCGGAGGAGCGCCGCUGGAUCCCUGGUUCGUUCAUUUUGGAUUCGGGUUUGAUCACUGACUAUCGCUCUUCUUUGCCUGCCGGGUCGUCUCGGCCGCCAGGUGGCGACCGUUAGGGGGGGGUACUGUCAGGAGUUGGGGUUUUUGUUUUGCCUUUUUUGUUUUUUCCGUUCCUAUGGCUUGCCAUCACCACCAGAUGGCACCAUGGAGGCUAGGAUAGGAGGACUGAAGGGCUGACGUCACCAUCACACCGGUUCCCAAUCCACUCGUCAGCGGGACUUCAAGAGACGGCGACUGCCAGCAUACCAACGCUUGAGUGUUAGCCAGUAAUGGUAACCCAGAGCCCUCUCCAGCGAUCUAGUCGAGCUUCCAGUUUAUUCGUUUCUAACGCCAUCUGUUGUUUGGAUAUUUUUUCAGCCGUUCCCGCAACUUCAGAAGGGGAGUCUGGGGAUCCAAGCAGGCAGUCUGCUCGCUCUCCUUGUCAACGUCUGGAUCCUUUACCUGUCCGCCCUCCACCUCCAGCAUCCACGCACCUGGCAUCGACGUUGAUUCGUUUUUCUCUCCGAAAGUCCUGGCUUACCUGUCCGUCGCUGUCCCUUUGAUGUUUGAGAACCUGCCCUGGAAAUUAUUGUAAAUAAAUCACUUUACCUGA